rnacentral:lncRNA from 1 species
GUCUCUUCCCAGCAAUCGCGUAUCUUUCCACCGCUCGCGGCUCUUCCCACAGUUAUCCUGUUUCCAACGUCAACCGGUCUUCAACGGCCACCGGAGGACAGAAUGAAGCCUCUCUUCGACAGAGGCUUCCACUGUGACGCCCCGAGAACGCAGAUUACUCGCGUCUUCCCACUCAUUGCGUGUCUUCGCAUCCCCUUGCUGCUGUGUCCUUCCGCCAGCGUACCGUGAGUAUCUUAAUGUAUAUUAAAUAUUCCCUUUUGACCAUGUUGGUGCGUGUUGCUAGAGAAAAUUAUAAACUGAGUUAAACUCUCUACUUUGUGGUCUUGGGCGUAUUGAGUUUUGAACCUUUGAGUAACAUAUAUGGUGAAGUGAAGUUAAUAUUUUUCCCCUUGCUUAUUGUGAGUACCUGUUUGAUUUGGUUCUUUAUGGUGUUUUCAGAUUUUAAUUUUCACUGUAAUUACCAACAUCAUUGUAAAGUUGUGGAGAUGUGUGAAGCUAAAAAUUCAGCUUACGUAGUUGGAGUAUGUGAUACUCUCUGGCUGAAGUUGGUAGAGCAUUAAACUGGUAAUGUUGGGCAUAACUUCUGAAUCCUAUUAACAAUCUGUACAGAAAAAUUUAGAAAAUAUAUGUAACAUAAAUUUGUUGAAGCAAAGCAUUUAAAAACAGAAUAUAACAUAGAUAUAUAACAUUUUAAAAGAAAAACACUAUUCCGGGCUUCAAAAGUUGCAAGUGGAAAAUUUAAAUUGAAGCAAAGCAGGGUAAAAUGUAACAUACAGAGAGAUAAUUGGAAGAAAUAGCAUGCUAUCAGGUUUUAGGCAAAGAGGGAGGAGAUAUUGAGAAAAAAUGAAUAUAAAGGAUCCCACCAUUUUCAGGACUAACUUAUCGAAAAACCCGUAAAAAUCAUCUGCUAAUACCACAAACCUAGCGGCCAUACAAAACUGGAAAUAGAAAUGCAUCUUAGGUAGUAGUGAAAUAUUAAUUGUUCUAAUGUAAAUUGUUUUUGGUAUUAAUUAUCUUUGUCAUUCUUCUGCUUUGAAAUAUAUGCACUAUACUGCUUAGAAAAAAGACUCAUGCACACUCAAUAAAAUUCCUCAAAUGCUAUCCACCUAAUCAACUCUAUCUUAUCACAUACGGGAGAAAAUAGCAAAACUUUUCCCUUGAAAACUCAGUUCUUCUCUAACUGUAAGUGCAAAAACCUUUAGAGUAUAUAUAUAUAUAUAUAUAUAUAUAUAUAUAUAUAUAUAUAUAUAUAUAUAUAUAUAUAUAUAUAUAUAUAUAUAUAUAUAAUACACCAAAUUUACAGAUUAGUGAAGACUCUACAUCAGAAGACUUGCAUAUGAAAGAACCAGUUCUCCCAAAGAAAGAUUGAGGAGUGGUAGGAAGAAAUAUUAAUGUAAAUUGGAUGUUUCUUUCACUGUAUCCAUAUACUUUACAAACAUUAUAGAACUAGCUAGGAUGUUUCUUUAAUGGUAUUUGAGAUUAAAGCCUAUAGCAAGGCACCAAUGGAAAGGCAUAUUCUCAUCAAUCAUAAAAGAAACAAUGUGUAUAAAGAAAGCUGAACUAUUAUGGCUUCUGAAAAACUGAAGAAGAAACAAUGUGUACGUUUCUGGAAAGGCAUAUUCUCAUCAUGGUGCAUUGUAAAGCCCAAGGAAUAGUGUCUAUAUAAAUAUUCAGUCUUUAUAGGUGUGUUGGUUUGCUUGUUUAUAGGUGCACAUGUAUCUAGGAAUGUUCUAUAAUCUAUGAACUAGUCUAUAGGGAAAUAAAACCUUUUGCUAUCAUGACCAUGGACAUAUUCAUUUUAUGUACACUAUUGGCAAUUCUUCUUUAAAUAAAAGUAACCUUGUGUUUUGCAGGAGAUCAGAAGAUAGCUUGGAAUGGAAAUAAUCGAGGAACAGAAGGUGCAAUUGUCGAAGGUAA